rnacentral:rRNA from 1 species
UCCUACGGGGCGCAGCAGUAGGGAAUCUUCCACAAUGGACGAAAGUCUGAUGGAGCAACGCCGCGUGAGUGAAGAAGGGUUUCGGCUCGUAAAGCUCUGUUGGUAGUGAAGAAAGAUAGAGGUAGUAACUGGCCUUUAUUUGACGGUAAUUACUUAGAAAGUCACGGCUAACUACGCGCCAGCAGCCGCGGUGAUACGUAGGGGGCAAGCGUUGUCCGGAUUUAUUGGGCGGAAAGCGAGUGCAGGCGGUGUAAUAAGUCUGGUGUGAAAGACUUCGGCUCAAACGGGGGAAUGCAUCAGAAAAG